rnacentral:rRNA from 1 species
CUUUGAAGAGAGAGUUCAAGAGGGCGUGAAACCGUUUGGAAGCAAACAGAUGGAACUGACGGACUGUCUGUGGCAUACAGCUGGCUUUGAUGCCCCAUUCUGGUAGUUGAGGGGAACUUUCAAUUUUCCAGUACWUGGUGCGUCUAGCUGGUGCAUUUGCCAUGGAUGUGCAUUGGAAACCAUGUUGGUGCUGGAUGGAUGACAGCYGUAGAUGGGCCAUUUUGUUGGUUACAUGCUGCUGUUUGRAGCCAAGUUGCUGGUAUGGUGCAUGUGAGCACUCGCCUACUUACCCRUGGAGAAAACAUGGGCAGUUGUACAGUGGUUUUGUGCUUGCACAACUCCACGAAUCCUGCAAAUGUGGACUCCAUUGUCACAGUAGGUGCUCUAUUCCAAUGUUUUUGUCAGCAACCCAUCUGACCCGUCUUGAAACACGGACCAAGGAGUCUAACAUGUGCGCAAGUCACUGGGUUGCAAAACCUAUGGGCGCAAUGAAAGUGAAAAUCAGUUUGUCUGGUUUACAUGGGACCUUCUACACUGUGGAAGUGCACCAUGGUCCUGUCCAUACUGCAUUGUCAGUAGGGCGGCGAUAGAGCGUAUGUGUUGGGACCCGAAAGAUGGUGAACUAUGCCUGAGCAGGAUGAGGCCAGAGGAAACUCUGGUGGAGGUCCAUAGCGAUUCUGACGUGCAAAUCGAUCGUCGGACUUGGGUAUAGGGGCGAAAGACUA